GCCUUAACUUCCCCUUUAAUAAGAACUACCGUAGUUACGCGCAUAUAAGCCCAUGGGCCUAUAUCCGCAUAUAAGCCCACCUCCGUUUAUAGGCCCAUGGGCUAAUAAACAGACCCAGACACCGUAGUACAGCAUGUCAGUGCAGACUACAUUACCAGCACCGGUACCUACAGUAGGCGGACAACCGCGCAUGGACUUGUACUUUUUGACGUGCCAGCUGCCUUCAAAAUUCGAAUAUAGGCCCAGGGCUAAAAAACGAACCAUUAUUACUGAUUUUUUCCCCCGGAAAAUGCAUUAUUUCGUAUAUUAGCCCAUGGGCUUAUAUGCGCGGAACUACGGUAUGGCUAAAAUUCCAAUCAGAACUAAUUGAUUAACAUAGGAAUACUCAUAAGAAGGAGGGAAACUUGGUAACUGCAUGAGCUGUAUGGGCGAUAACUCCAUGGCAAUAUAAGUUUUCACCAUCUUCUGAGAAGGUUGUGAAUCCUGGCUUCAAAGCAACAAAUAGUGCAACGAAAUUCUGCCAAUUCAAUGUUCGCCAUGAUCCAUUGUGGUUGCGACAUCCUGUGCUAGCUCUCUUAUGUACUUUCCCUGUAGUUCACGUACUUUUGUGGAUGAUCUAUUAGUUGCAGAUGUCCUUUUCAGCUGGAUGAGUGUAAUGCUUGUUUGGUAUCACAGAAUCCUAAUGUUCUGCAUUUCUCUCUUUGUUCCCUUCCAAUGACCACAUGGGCAUGGGAGAGUGUAUUCCAGGAUGCAGGACUGCAAUGACACGCUCUCUCACUGGCGGCCGUGUUUGUGAGCCAUCUGUCACUCAGUGUGCACAGCUAUGCUCAUCACCAGGUGGGUGCAGUAGACAGACGUGCAAGGAUUUCCCACGGUAGGUCAUUGAUGAUCGUCACUUAUGCGCAACUUCACUAUACCUGGAUACCACUGAUUCCUGUCAGAUCAUGCUCCUGACGAUUGUCUCUUGAGGCCCUCUGGAGUGCUCCACAGUCACCAGUGGUGUGUACUGUCCAAUCGAGGAGUCGCUGGAAUGGAUUCUUGCUAAGUACUCCCACUCUUGUGUGCAGUACCCCAUAUACACCACCCCUGUCUACAUCUCUUCUCCACUGUUCAUGGCUCUACUUAGGACAGAUCAUGCAAGAAAUAUUUGCAGCAAUUGUACCAUCUUGGACUGCCAAAGGGGGAGAAGGUUGGACCUAUCAAUCAAUAAUUCAGCUUACAACGAUACAAAGUUCAAGGUUAUUAUGGCCUAGAUAACUAGUCGAGGUAGACCUACUUUGUGAACCCUGUAAGUCAAAUCAAUAGCAGCUAUGGACUACAUAAUGGGAAAUUUCAACCUUCCAUGCCAUUUUUGUUUACACCUUCUCCCUAUAAAUGUGUGAGUUUUUUUGACGGGUGGUUUCUCUUAGCUGCCAGCCACGUAAUGGAUGG